rnacentral:lncRNA from 1 species
GCAAAGUUCAUCACCUGUAUUUUUGCUAAUAAAGAUCCCAAGACAUCUAACAUCUUUCUCAUGCUUGUGCUUGUUGGCCAGUCACCAGCUUAACUGGGCUGAACUUCAGCAAAACCUCUUCAAAAAGCAUCCUGGCAAAGCAUGUGUAACACACAACGAGGACUGGGCAGCACAUAACACACAGCAGCUGUCUUCACUUUGCUUCAAAGUAAAUAUCUUCAAUGCCCGCCUGAGCUUUGGGGAUUUCAAGCCCUUAUCUCUUAUCUGCAAAGAGAGCAGGAACUGUGGUCAGGAAGCUAUAACUUUUUCAGCCCACAAAGCUGAAACACUUUCUGUGACUCAAAUGGCUUCAGCACAGCUAUUCCCUAGAAAACAUCCUCCCUGAUUUCUUGUGGCGCCUGUUAGAUUGCUGAAGUUGCAGCAAAGACAUGGAAAAAACACUGAGGUCUUAUUGCUCCUGUUGGAAACUUCUGCCGACUACAGCAAGAGUUGGACUGGGCCCAGAGAAA